rnacentral:lncRNA from 1 species
CGAGUCUACGUCGACGUAUACAUCGGAGGCAGAAAAUUUAUUCAAGCUCUGAAGUCCGAAACAACUGAAAAUGCUCCAAAACACCAUCACGUGACCCUGGUAUUCUCAAAGUUAGCAGACACUACAUCUGCCUAUGAGCAAUGGACAGGACUGAGAAUACCAUAUCAUGAACCAUAGUGAACACUGCUAGCAACAUCCUGUUUUAUUGGCACACAACAGCAUCCCUCCUGAUCAAGUGAAAAGGAAUCCUAUGACACCGCUUGAUCUUUGUCUGACAUGGAAAUCUGCAAAUCAAAUAAGGUGGAAGAAUAACAUCUGGUUAAAAAAUUUAUGUGGAAAAAUAUCUGCUUUAAAGUGAUGUCAUGAACUGGACGCUGCACUCUUGAUUCCAACACUAAUAUUGUCAUGACCAAAUGUUAAAGUUCAUAUUCAGCAAGUUGAAGAUAACUGACACCAUCUUUAAGUAUAAGUUGCACAAAUAUGGUAUUCAGAAGUUUUUUAUUUUCACUACUGAUGUAUAUAUAGUAUAAAAAAAUGGAUUUCUGUAAUAGAAUAAAGUAUUGGAAUACA